CCCCUUUUAGGAUUGCACCUAGAGAGUUUCCAGUACUCUACCAGUCUCAGCUAUGGGAGGGAGAGUCAAGCAGAGGUAUAACCUUUCUAUUCCUAGCUUGGGCAGUGGCUAGCCAGUGGAAGACAAUCUGGUACAAGU